UUGAACGCUGGCGGAAUGCUUUACACAUGCAAGUCGAGCGGCAGCGCGGGGGCAACCCUGGCGGCGAGCGGCGGACGGGUGAGUAAUGCAUCGGAACGUACCUAGUCGUGGGGGAUAACUAUCCGAAAGGAUAGCUAAUACCGCAUACGUCCUGAGGGAGAAAGCAGGGGAUCGCAAGACCUUGCGCGAUUAGAGCGGCCGAUGUCGGAUUAGCUAGUUGGUGGGGUAAAGGCCUACCAAGGCAACGAUCCGUAGCUGGUCUGAGAGGAUGAUCAGCCACACUGGGACUGAGACACGGCCCAGACUCCUACGGGAGGCAGCAGUGGGGAAUUUUGGACAAUGGGCGCAAGCCUGAUCCAGCCAUUCCGCGUGAGUGAAGAAGGCCUUCGGGUUGUAAAGCUCUUUCAGACGGAAAGAAAUCGGGCGCGUGAAUAGCGUGCCUGGAUGACGGUACUGUCAGAAGAAGCACCGGCUAACUACGU
rnacentral:rRNA from 1 species